rnacentral:lncRNA from 1 species
GAUAAAUGACUGACUAAGCAUGGUAUCAAGACCAUCAGAGCCGAGACAUAAGAAGGGUAUAUGAAUACCACAGAAAACCUUUCAGCAUCUCAAGACGCCCGUAUCCUAUCUGGCCACUGACAUUUACUGUUGGUGACAAUUUUGGCUAUGGGAUGUUGCCAGCUGAUGGUACCAGAAAGGCUGCGUGUCCUGCCGCAGAGCAUUAUCACCACCUUGCGUUUGUGACAUUAAACGCAGCAGUGUUGCACGUGCUGUACAUGAGCAAAGUAACAGCUGCUGAGAACAGAGGAAAAUAGCAGUGGUUGUGAGAUGAAGGGACUAAGUAAAGGCAAAGCAUGGUAUAACUAGAUGCCAGUUAGAUCCUCUGAAUUUUGACAAUGCCCUGGAAGUUAAUGGGAAAGGAAAAUGACAUGUGAAGGGGAAGCACCGAGAUUUCAAAUGCAUCCACGGGAUUCUAGGAAAACAGCAUCACUCACAUCAACAGAGGUUACAUGUACUAAUGGAGAAAUCAAGAGGCUGGCUUGGAAACACAAACACUGCUUGUUCACUGUUGAUGCCGCGACUUUAGGGGAUGGUUCCCACAGGCUGAGGCAGCUCUGCACCUUUUUGCCUUCUUUUCACCUACCCUACCACAGCCCCCAACACAGGACCAGAGAUGCAUCCCAAGCAUACAGUGCAACACAAGCACGCAGAGCCCCUGCGGGUGCACCCUUCAGCUCCCAAACUCUCAUUUUUUCCCUCAUCCCCUCAAAAUACUCUGAUUUUCGCAUUUCCCUCUCACACGGUGCGCAGGCAACAGACCAGGGCAGAGGCGCACGGCCGCAGUGAGCACCACCGACAGCCCCCCUCACCCCUCUCAGCGGCCAGCCGGGGCUCCGGGCUGCCCCCGAGGGAGGCGCACACAGCAGGGCGCAGAGCGGGCGGCUCGGCUCCGCGCCGGCCCCGCUGUGCCGCACUGCGCUGGCAGCUAACGCACAGCCUCGGCCACAUGCUUAGGCCGCGGCGCGGCAGCAGAGCGCAGGCGCGGAGCGUGCGGCGGCCUCUCCCGCCCCUCGCCUCACGCAGCUCCCGUGCACGGCGGGGACCCGGAAGCGUGGAGCGGUCGCGAACUGCCGGUGUGCGAGAGCCGCGGUUCCCCUUCUGGUGCUCCGCCUCCGAGGCGGCGGAGCCUGGGGUUGCUUCGCGUCGCCCUUGGGGGAGGCCGCAUUGCCACCACGGGCUGUUACCGAGAGACUGCCAGACAAUUCCUAGCUGGCUUGCUGCAGGCUCCAAGGAAGGCAUAAUUGAAGGCAGAUGA